CGCGCAGGCGGUCGAUUUAGUCGCGUGUGAAAGCCCCCGGCUCAACUGGGGAGGGUCACGCGAUACUGAUCGACUCGAAGGCAGGAGAGGGUAGUGGAAUUCCCGGUGUAGUGGUGAAAUGCGUAGAUAUCGGGAGGAACACCAGUGGCGAAGGCGACUACCUGGCCUGUUCUUGACGCUGAGGCGCGAAAGCUAGGGGAGCAAAC
rnacentral:rRNA from 1 species